rnacentral:rRNA from 1 species
AUUGAACGCUGGCGGCAUGCCUUACACAUGCAAGUCGAACGGUAACAGGUUAAGCUGACGAGUGGCGAACGGGUGAGUAAUGUAUCGGAACGUGCCCAGUCGUGGGGGAUAACUGCUCGAAAGAGCAGCUAAUACCGCAUACGACCUGAGGGUGAAAGCGGGGGAUCGCAAGACCUCGCGCGAUUGGAGCGGCCGCUAUCCGAUUAGGUAGUUGGUGAGGUAAAGGCUCACCAAGCCGACGAUCUGUAGCUGGUCUGAGAGGACGACCAGCCACACUGGGACUGAGCCACGGCCCAGACUCCUACGGGAGGCAGCAGUGGGGAAUUUUGGACAAUGGGCGCAAGCCUGAUCCAGCCAUGCCGCGUGCGGGAAGAAGGCCUUCGGGUUGUAAACCGCUUUUGUCAGGGAAGAAAAGGUUCUGGCUAAUACCUGGGACUCAUGACGGUACCUGAAGAAUAAGCACCGGCUAACUACGUG